rnacentral:rRNA from 1 species
UACAGAGGGUGCAAGCGUUAUUCGGAAUUAUUGGGCGUAAAGAGCGUGUAGGUGGUUUGAUAAGUCUGAUGUGAAAGCCCUGGACUCAAUCCAGGAAGCGCAUUGGAUACUGUCAGACUAGAGUGCAGGAGAGGUGAGCGGAAUUCCAGGAGUAGAGGUGAAAUUCGUAGAUAUCUGGAGGAACAACAGAGGCGAAGGCGGCUCACUGGACUGUAACUGACACUAAGGCGCGAAAGCGUGGGGAGCAAAC